GGGGUGCUCGAGUGGCGAACGGGUGAGUAACACGUGAGUAACCUGCCCUUGACUUUGGGAUAACUUCAGGAAACUGGGGCUAAUACCGGAUAGGAGCUCCUGCUGCAUGGUGGGGGUUGGAAAGUUUCGGCGGUUGGGGAUGGACUCGCGGCUUAUCAGCUUGUUGGUGGGGUAGUGGCUUACCAAGGCUUUGACGGGUAGCCGGCCUGAGAGGGUGACCGGCCACAUUGGGACCGAGAUACGGCCAG
rnacentral:rRNA from 1 species